AUGGCCAUGCAUUUAUCUGGAGUCAAUGCUGAUUCUGACUGCAUGGCCACCUUUACCCUCAACUUCAUUGUAGCUGUGAAUGCUCCGUUCCUCUCCUUUUCACCCCUGAAGAUUCGCGAACAUGCAGGAUUGAGCUGUGCGAGGCAUAGCAUUCCCCACAUGGUAGACGAAGGCGGAUGUGGGUCUGAUGGCUCUACCGCCGUCCACCCGGGCGGAUGGACGUGUGUUCCGGGAUAUCAGAGCUUGCGGCUGACCAGCCCACAUGUCCACGCAGCCCUCCCGCUGGCUGUGUCGACAUUUUGGGUGUCACUGAAGGAUUUUACCGGUGCAGACUUUACAAAGGCAAAAUUGUUUCUCAAGGAAGUGGACAUGAAAGAUCUAAAAUCAGGGCUGCUUGAAAAAAGCAAGCACAGAUUAAUGACCUAUCUACAUCCUACACGGUUUUAG
rnacentral:lncRNA from 1 species